rnacentral:lncRNA from 1 species
AGGAUGAAGAAAUUUCAGUUUGCACCUCCAGAUCAGCUGCAGCCUCUGUGACUGUGAAGAGGACACAGCUGCAGAGUGGCUUCCAUCUCAACUCAUCUAAGCCAAGCUACUGGGUGAUUGUAAUCUCUUCUAGUCCUCAUUUCAUUCCUGGUUCCCUACAUGAACUGCAACAAAGGAAACUUAUACGGAGCACUGACAAAACAGAGUUUUUACAGCUUAGCCAGAAUUUGGCAGGUUUUUAGAAGGUUGGUAUCAGACAUGGAACUCCCUCUUCCCACCCUUUAUAUCUUUCCCAAGGCACAUAGUCAAAAUAUUCCUCAAUAUUCCCUCCAAGUAUAGGACUGCUAAAUCUCAAGUCGUGUACUGUAAUUCAUUAAUAUAUAUGUGCAGCUACAAAACCAUGGAGGGUGGGCAGAGAGGCAAUAGGAGCCUAAACUGUUUUGUGCCAAUACAAUUGCUGCAGGUAGAAAAGGAAAGACAAUUCAGGUUCACACCUGAACCUACUUUGGGCACGAUAAGACCAAAGCAGAAAAAAAGAAUUUCUAUGUAAACAGUUUUCUCAGAGGUACAUAAAUUAUAUUCCCAAUUAGACCACAGUAUGAAUUUGUUUUCUUUGUCACUGAAUUAUAAAUCAGGACAAUUAGGAACUCUGUUGGAACUUCCAUCAGGGCCUUAAUCACAGAGAGGUCAGCGCUGCUUACAGUUGUGAGCAUUUACCUCAAACAACAUAAACAUACAUCUGGUAUUUGUUUCUAAGGUUAUUGGCAUAGACUGAUUUUCAGAGUGAUGCGGGAGAUCAUGUUUACACGAAUGUCCAUUUGAUGGAAACAACUUAGUAUGAAAUCAUAGGGAAAGAAAAUCCCUUUAGUAUAAACAGCUCUGGUGAAGUAAAACACAGAUUCAUUCUGAGUUGAGCUGGUAUUUGUUUAGCAUCUGAACUAUCCACAUUGCUUCACCAUUGUCUUUAAGGAAAGCAGUGGUAGGGAUUGCUAAUAUCAAACAUAUUACCAAUGUUUAGCCAUUGGUUCAUGUUACUGUUUUUCUGGGGGCAAAUUUUAAUGUAAUCAUGCUGUGUGUGUGUGUUUUCAGAAAACAGUGCUUUAGAGCAGUAGGUCUAUGCAUUUUCCAUUUUGUGUAAAUUAUUGUGUGUGCAACCUUGAGUCACACUGUGUGUAGAUCCACAGACACAUGGUCAGACCGACCACUUGAUUUCAUCCUCUCAUCUCAAGAAAAUACAAAUAACUCUCAAGUAUCAUGCAUAUAGGGAAUAAUUACAUAAACUACUUCUUUCAUUUUGGAAUAGAUUCUUCAUUUGAUCUUUGAAAAAAAAGGCAGUUUA